rnacentral:rRNA from 1 species
GAUGAACGCUGGCGGCGUGCUUAACACAUGCAAGUCGAACGAAGCAUUUAAGACAGAUUACUUCGGUUUGAAGUCUUUUAUGACUGAGUGGCGGACGGGUGAGUAACGCGUGGGUAACCUGCCUCAUACAGGGGGAUAGCAGCUGGAAACGGCUGGUAAUACCGCAUAAGCGCACAGUACCACAUGGUACAGUGUGAAAAACUCCGGUGGUAUGAGAUGGACCCGCGUCUGAUUAGCUUGUUGGCGGGGUAACGGCCCACCAAGGCGACGAUCAGUAGCCGACCUGAGAGGGUGACCGGCCACAUUGGGACUGAGACACGGCCCAGACUCCUACGGGAGGCAGCAGUGGGGGAUAUUGCACAAUGGAGGAAACUCUGAUGCAGCGACGCCGCGUGAGUGAAGAAGUAGUUCGCUAUGUAAAGCUCUAUCAGCAGGGAAGAUAGUGACGGUACCUGACUAAGAAGCUCCGGCUAAAUACGUGCCAGCAGCCGCGGUAAUACGUAUGGAGCAAGCGUUAUCCGGAUUUACUGAGUGUAAAGGGAGUGUAGGUGGCCAGGCAAGUCAGAAGUGAAAGCCCGGGGCUCAACCCCGGGACUGCUUUUGAAACUGCAGGGCUAGAGUGCAGGAGGGGCAAGUGGAAUUCCUAGUGUAGCGGUGAAAUGCGUAGAUAUUAGGAGGAACACCAGUGGCGAAGGCGGCUUGCUGGACUGUAACUGACACUGAGGCUCGAAAGCGUGGGGAGCAAACAAGAGUAGAUACCCUGGUAGUCCACGCCGUAAACGAU